rnacentral:rRNA from 1 species
CAUUCGAGUGGCGGACGGGUGAGUAACGCGUGGGUAACCUGCCUUACACAGGGGGAUAACACCUGGAAACAGGUGCUAAUACCGCAUAAGCGCACAGGGCCGCAUGGCCCGGUGUGAAAAACUCCGGUGGUGUAAGAUGGACCCGCGUCUGAUUAGCUUGUUGGCGGGGUAGGGGCCCACCAAGGCGACGAUCAGUAGCCGGCCUGAGAGGGUGACCGGCCACAUUGGGACUGAGACACGGCCCAAACUCCUACGGGAGGCAGCAG